rnacentral:rRNA from 1 species
AUGCCAGAUCCUAAUAGAGCAUACGCUCUGCAAUGCAUUUUCUAUGACAAGAUAUUAACUAGCGGCGUAACCAGGGUAAAGUAUCACCUUGCUGGCAUUAAGAAGUGCAAUGCUACACCAUGCUAGAAGGUUCCUCAGGAUGUGAAGGAGGAGAUGAAGGUUUUGCUCCUAAAGAGUAAUGAUGCGAAGGAUAAGAAAAUCACAGAAUUGGAAAAGAUAAGAAGUUCAGUUAACAUAGAUCACUCGGAGGGAGAAGAGGAGAGUGAUGACGACAGUGACAAUGAUAUUGUGUUGUCAACACAAAGCAGAAGCAGAUCCCAAGGUGGCCCUAUGGACAAGUUCUGCAUGUCAAGUGUAGAAGAAUGUGUCAAGAGGAAUCAAGGCAAACUCUCAGCGAAAAGGUUCAAUCAAAGCUGUCAUCUUAGAAGACAGAAGAGAGGAGGAAUAGAGCUUGUGGGUACAUCUGUCAGUUUUUCUAUGAAGCUGGCAUUCCACACAACACUAUGA